CGUGAGGGAAAGGUGAAAAGAACCCCGGGAGGGGAGUGAAAUAGAACCUGAAACCAUAUGCUUACAAGAAGUUAGAGCCCGUUAAAGGGUGAUAGCGUGCCUUUUGUAGAAUGAACCGGCGAGUUACGAUAUGGAGCGAGGUUAAGCAGGAUAUGCGGAGCCGAAGCGAAAGCGAGUCUUAACAGGGCGAAAGUUGCAUGUCGUAGACCCGAAACCGAGUGAUCUAGCCAUGACCAGGUUGAAGUUGGGGUAAAACCCGAUGGAGGACCGAACCGACCCCCGUUGAAACGUUGGCGGAUGAGUUGUGGCUAGGGGUGAAAUUCCAAUCGAACCCGGAGAUAGCUGGUUCUCCCCGAAAUAGCUUUAGGGCUAGCGUCGAGAGAAGAGUUGCGUGAAGGUAGAGCACUGAAUAUGUGAUGGCCCCAUCUCGGGGUACUGAGCAUAAUCAAACUGCGAAUGUCACGCCAACAUGCUCGGCAGUCAGACAGCGGGUGAUAAGGUCCGUUGUCAAGAGGGAAACAGCCCAGACCAUCAGCUAAGGUCCCAAAAUGUAUGCUAAGUGGAAAAGGAUGUGGAGAUGUACAGACAACUAGGAGGUUGGCUCAGAAGCAGCCAUCCUUUAAAGAGUGCGUAACAGCUCACUAGUCGAAUGACUCUGCGCCGAUAAUUUACCGGGGCUAAGUAUAUUACCGAAGCUAUGGAUUUACGCGUAAGCGUGAGUGGUAGGGGAGCGUUCUAUGUGCGGAGAAGCGGUACCGUAAGGAGCCGUGGAGCGCAUAGAAGAGAGAAUGCCGGUGUGAGUAGCGAAACGUGGGUGAGAAUCCCACGCACCGAAAACCCAAGGUUUCCAGAGGAAGGUUCGUCCGCUCUGGGUAAGUCGGGACCUAAGGCGAGGCCGAAAGGCGUAGUCGAUGGACAACAGGUAGAGAUUCCUGUACUUACGGUAUGAAUGAUGGAGUGACGGAGAAGGCUAGCGGAUCCUGCUGAUGGAAAUGCAGGUGCAAGCGAGGUAGCCGACAGCCAGGCAAAUCCGGCUGUCGAAAGGCAAAGGCGUGAGGCGUAUGGAAAGCUGCGGCAAGUACAGAAGUCCGUGAAGCCAGCUUCCAAGAAAAGCUUCUAGUGAUAAUCAUACAGUAACCCGUACCGAAAAUGGACACACAUGGGUGAGGAGAGAAUCCUAAGGUGAGCGAGAGAACUAUAGCUAAGGAACUCUGCAAAAUGACUCCGUAACUUAGGGAGAAGGAGUGCUCAUAGAGAUAUGAGCCGCAGUGAAACGGCCCAAGCGACUGUUUACCAAAAACACAGCUCUAUGCUAAGUCGAAAGACGACGUAUAUGGGGUGACGCCUGCCCGGUGCUGGAAGGUUAAGAGGAUGUGUCAGCGCAAGCGAAGCAUUGAAUUGAAGCCCCAGUAAACGGCGGCCGUAACUAUAACGGUCCUAAGGUAGCGAAAUUCCUUGUCAGGUAAGUUCUGACCCGCACGAAAGGCGUAACGAUUUGGGCGCUGUCUCAGCUGUAGACUCGGUGAAGUCUUAGUACCUGUGAAGAUGCAGGUUACCCGCGACUAGACGGAAAGACCCCAUGGAGCUUCACUGCAGGUUGAUAUUGGGAUUUGAUGCAGCAUGUACAGGAUAGGUAGGAGGCAAAGAGAUGGAUACGCCAGUAUUCAAGGAGCCGCUGUUGGGAUACUACCCCUGUUGUAUUGGAUUUCUAACCGGACGACGUAGAGCCGUUGACGGGACAGUGUCAGUCGGGCAGUUUGACUGGGGCGGUCGCCUCCCAAAGAGUAACGGAGGCGCCCAAAGAUACCCUCAGCUUGGAUGGAAAUCAAGCGCAGAGUGCAAAGGCAUAAGGGUGUUUGACUGCGAGACCUACAAGUCGAGCAGGGACGAAAGUCGGGCUUAGUGAUCCGGCGGUGCUGAAUGGAAAGGCCGUCGCUCAACGGAUAAAAGCUACCCUGGGGAUAACAGGCUGAUCUCCCCCAAGAGUUCACAUCGACGGGGAGGUUUGGCACCUCGAUGUCGGCUCAUCGCAUCCUGGAGCUGAAGUCGGUUCCAAGGGUUGGGCUGUUCGCCCAUUAAAGCGGUACGCGAGCUGGGUUCAGAACGUCGUGAGACAGUUCGGUCCCUAUCUGUCGUGGGCGCAGGAAAUUUGAGAAGAGCUGUCCUCAGUACGAGAGGACCGGGAUGGACGCAUCAAUGGUGGACCAGUUGUCACGCCAGUGGCAUAGCUGGGUAGCUAAAUGCGGAAGGGAUAAACGCUGAAGGCAUCUAAGUGUGAAACCCACUUCAAGAUGAGAUUUCCCAUUGC
rnacentral:rRNA from 1 species